GUUGAAUGACUACAAAGACUCCCUACACUUGACCAAUCACGGACGAAGGGGUGUAGACUUCGGCUCCCGAACUGGCCUUGAUAAAAAUGUCUGCCGAACAGCACUGUCAACUGGAAAACGUCAAUGAACCAUUCUAACAAUGCCAACCACUUGGAGCCAAGUUUCCUGACCCAGGCUGUUAUGGCCACACCCAGUUCCACCUGAUCCCUGAUAGGUAUCGCAGGGACAAAAUGUCUUAUCUGAAUCUGACUGACCAGAUUGAGGUCUACCUGAGAGCUCAUGGCAUUGAGUCUAUUCACAUGGACAGGAGCACAAGCCAUGUAUCAUGGUUUCUGGAGCCAUGAGGAUGUGGCCAGGUCCUUUGUGUCCCACUAUUGGCCAGUACUUCUCUUUCUUCUGUUACCAGCUCAACUCCCUGGCCCUGUCCAUGAGACGGAUGCUGUGAACCCCAGGAAGAACUUGUGCUGGGGGACAGACAGUAUUCAUCUGUAUGAAAUUAAGCAUGGUGGUUGGGCUGGAUGACAGGGUCCUCAAGCUCCUGGUCUGGUUCCUACUGGGCAGGUCAGGUGGACAUGGAGAGAUGGUGUAUGCAGGGUGAAAGUGUUUUUGUUGAAUUGUUUCCAUCUGGAUUCAACAGUGGCAAAUGUCAAUUAAUGUACACUGAACGUGUGUGUGUGUGUGUGUGUGUGUGUGUGUGUAUCUCUGGUAUGAUCUGGCAGAAUGUAUUCAUGUGGAAAGUAAAAACAGUUGCAUACAGGGUUGAUUGGUGUCCAUAUCACUAAGGACCUAUCAUGGUUCAAACACACCAAUAUAGUUGUGAAGUGGCCACAACAAUGCCUCUUCCCCCUCAGGAGGCUGAAAAGAUUUGUCAUGGUCCCCUCAGUUAUUCAAAAAGUUAUACGUGCUUCUACACCUGCAUUGCUUGCUGUUUGAGGUUUUAGACUGGGUUUCUGUACAGCACUUUGAGAUAUCAGCUGAUGUACGAAGGGCUAUAUAAAUAAAUUUGAUUUGAUUUUAGAUUUUGAUCUUGACUGGCUGCAUCACCUCUUGGUAUGGCAACUGCUUGGCAUCUGACCGCAAGGUGCUGUGGAUGGUAGUGCGUGCCUACGGCCCAGUACAUCACGGGUUGAGCUCCUUGCCAUCCAGGACCUCUAUACCAGGCUGUUUCAAUGGGGAAAGAGUGGCUCGUACCCCGCUUCAGUGAUUAUUGUUGAAAACCCUGCUUCCGGUGUUCUGCUGUUUGCCACUAGGUGUCGCUUAGUCAAUGUGGACAAACGGCACAACCACAGAUGGAACAAGGAGACUGAUGUUUCACCGGAUGUAUAAAUCUGAAGGAUCUGGUUGGAAUUUCCACCCUAUUUGGUGAGGAGAGGAUGCCCAGUGGGAGAGUAUGGAGCGAGAUGGAACUGGGCUGGCGUUCUGCUGAUUUUUCUCAUUGAGGAAGAAAAGCCCGAUCUCAAUUAGUUAUCUUUUCUUAAAACUAGAAUCUGUUACAGAGUGCAAUAAGUUUUGUAGAUGUGACCCUUUGCCAAAGUUCCCUAACGGAAAUAUGCAAAUAAAUGCUAGAACGCGCAAAUAGGA